rnacentral:rRNA from 1 species
GACGAACGCUGGCGGCGUGCUUAACACAUGCAAGUCGAACGGAAAGGCCCUGCUUGCAGGGUGCUCGAGUGGCGAACGGGUGAGUAACACGUGGGUGAUCUGCCCCUUACUUUGGGAUAAGCCUGGGAAACUGGGUCUAAUACUGGAUAGGACCAUGCUGUAGGUGGUGUGGUGGAAAGAUUAGUUUCGGUAAGGGAUGAGCUCGCGGCCUAUCAGCUUGUUGGUGGGGUAAUGGCCUACCAAGGCGUCGACGGGUAGCCGGCCGGAGAGGGUGGACGGCCACAUUGGGACUGAGAUACGGCCGAGACUCCUACGGGGGGCAGCAGAGGGGAAUAUUGCACAAUGAGCGCAAGCCUGAUGCAGCGACGCCGCGUGGGGGAUGACGGCCUUCGGGUUGUAAACUCCUUUCAGCCAUGACGAAGCCCUUGUGGUGACGGUAGUGGUAGAAGAAGCACCGGCUAACUACGUG